rnacentral:misc_RNA from 1 species
GAUGAAGAACGUAGCGAAAUGCGAUAAGUAAUGUGAAUUGCAGAAUUCAGUGAAUCAUCGAAUCUUUGAACGCACCUUGCGCCUUUUGGUAUUCCGAAAGGCACACCUGUUUGAGCGUCAUGAUUACCUCAAUCUCCAUCUUUUCUUCGGAUUGAUGGGUGACUUGGAUGUUGAGCCCUGCUGGUAUGCUAUAUCAGCUGGCUUUAAACUUAUUAGCCGGCUCUGUACUGGAUCGGUUUGACUCGACGUGAUAAUAUUAUCGUUGAGGAUGCAUGUCUCAUGCAGCCGGAAAGUAUCAAAGCAGCUUCUAGCUUGCCUUUAGUGCACUUUUACAUUUUAGACCUCAGAUCAGGUGGGACUACCCGCUGAACUUAAGCAUAUCAAUAAGCGGAGGA